GAGCUGGAUCGGAACGCGUCUGAUCGGGAACGCGAGUUGUAGCUGUCCGGGAUGCAAGCCGAGAACAGAUGGAGCUGAAGCUGAGUUCGUCUAGUAUCAGGAACGCCUUAGGGUUGGGGCUGAUUGGAUGAACACGAGCUGGAACCCUUGCAAGAAAAGAUUAGGGUUCCAAAGCAAAUUGGUGCGCACUGUAUCGGUGCGUGAGGGCGCGUUAGUGGUUAGAUCGACAAACGGUUUGCACUGACUGAUUCGUCUCGGUAAGAGCUUCGAUUUGAUAUCUUGAUCGUUUUCUGGGUCCUUACAGUUUUGGAGAACGACCUCUUUGAAUUUAUGGGCAGAUUCCUCUUCGUUUAGGGUUUUUAGGGUUUUUAGUGAUUUUGGUUUUAGGCUCAGGGUGUUAGAGGUUAUCGUGCUGAUAACGUGUUGUAAAACGAAGGUUUGAAAACUAAAUGUUUUCUAUCUAUCAUUAAUGAAUAAGUGUUCUCUUAUAAAGGGGAUUACAAGAUAAGUAAAAAGGAAAGUAUCCAAAACAUAAACUCACUAGGAUUUGGAAAACUACUAAUACAUAAUAAUGGAAAGAUAACAAUUACAAGGAAAAAGAAAGAUGGUUUCAUUUUUUCCAAGCCGUCUCUCUCUCUCUCUCUCAAAGUCGUGGCCGACUCUCUCUCUAGAUGUAUGGGCCGGUUAUGGACAUCCACUAAUUGAUUUAUAACAAUUAUGACUUUCUUUCUUCACCAAACUCCAGCCACCAUCUUUAUUUGGAGCCAUCACCAUCAUUUCACCUUCUCCUCUCGCUGUUAAACACCGGAGUUCAUCAACGCUCACUAUCGCCACCACCAACCACCCCGACCGGAGCCACCGUUUCAAUCUGACCAGCCGUGAUCCUCAACCGUGAGUCACCGGGGAGGGCCAUGCACUUUUGUGGCUGAGAUCCGCAACUAUGAUUCCAAGCCGUGAAGGUUAAACCAAAGAUUAUAUGGAUUUCUUGUAUCGCAAGUUUCUUAAACCCUAGACUAAUUAUAUUUUAAUCAUAUCUCAUUGUUUUGUCUCUAUUCUUUUCCAAUCUAGUGUGUCGUUGACAAGAUCGAGAUCCAUGGCGAAACCCUAGUUUUAUGCUAGAGCUAUGCCUACAUGGUCUUAGGGCUAUGUACUGAGUCAGUGGUUUUCGGUUUAGCAUCCCUCAUGGAGUAACUCCCAUGUUACUCACCCCUCUUUCUUCCCCUUGCAGGUGAACAUGACGUGUAGUUGGAUAUGUGGACGGAUUGGUGUCUUGUGAUCGUUGUAUUUUAUUUCGGUUUUAAUUAACUUUUCGAUUUAAUGUAUUUGGUUUUAAAUUACAAACUUGUUUUAUUUGGAAAUUAUUUGAUUAAAAAGUUUAACAUUUUAUUCGGUUUUAUAAAUCGGUUUAAUUUGGUAUUUUUCGGUUAGUAGCACACCGUUUCCGAGAGAUGAUGAGACGGGUGUUACAAUUUGGUAUAAGAGCGGGGUUUUGUCCCGGCUCUGACCAGGGACGGCGAUUUAUGGGACUUGGAUUUCAGCGAUUUUCAAUGUUUGGGGAUUAGGAGUUUUUGGGGAAAAAAAAUGACACCGGUCUGUCCUAUAUCAUUCGAUUAGUUCUUACUGUUUCUAACUCUUUUAUUUUUAUAGGAGAAGACUAAAUUUCUAUUUGUUUCCAUUAUUUUCCCAUCUCUCGUUCUUCUUUUCAUUAGUGUCGUCGAAGUUCUUUUUGGGUUCCAUCUAGAAUUCGGGGCGAAUUCUGAUUACGUGGGGAAGAAUUAUAACGACCGUAACCCGGUAACGUAUUAAAUAAUAGUUUGGUUUGAUUUAAUAUUAAUUCUUGUUUUCAAACCGUUCCUAAACCAAUUGUUUUGAUUUCAUUCAGUUUUGAUUAUUAUUAACCCUAUUCAAUAUUUCUCUAACCUAAUCGUGUAACAUAUAUAUUAUGACUUUCUUCUUCUUCACCAAACUCCAGCCACCAUCUUUAUUAAUUGUGCCAGAGAGCACUUAACCAUGAGGGCACCAUCUCCUUCUCCUCUUCUUGUUUCUUCUUCCUUGUUCUCGAACGGUGGAGCCAUCAUCAUCAUUUCACCGUCUCCUCUCGCUGAUAAACACUGGAGUUCAUCAACGCUCACCAUCCCCACCACCAACCACCACGAUCGGAGCCACCGUUUCAAUCUGACCAGCCGUGAUCCUCAACCGUGAGUCACCGGAGAGGGCCAUGCACUUUUGUGGCUGAGAUCCGCAACUAUGAUUACAGGCCGUGAAGGUUAACCAAAGAUUAUAUGGAUUUCUUGUGUCGCAAGUUUCUUAAACCCUAGACUAAUUAUAUUUUAAUCAUGUCUCAUUGUUUUGUCUCUAUUCUUUUCCAAUCUGGUGUGUCGUUUGACAAGAUCGAGAUCCAUGGCGAAACCCUAGUUUUAUUGUUGAUCGUGUCAUCUCGUCUAUUGUCGGAUCUCUUAUGGUUUUCCGAUAUGGCUAAGGUGAACAUGACGAGUAGUUAGAUAUGUGGACGGAUUGGUGUCCUGGGAUCGUUGUAUUUUAUUUUGGUUUUAAUUAACUUUUCGAUUUAAUGUAUUUGGUUUUAAGUUACAAACUUGUUUUAUUUGGAAAUUAUUUGAUUAAAAGGUUUGACAUUUUAUUCGGUUUUAUAAAUCAGUUUAAUUUGGUAUUUUUCGGUUUGUAGCACACCGUUCCCGAGAGAGGAUGAGAGGGGUGUCACAAUUUUAUUAAGCUUUUCUGUAAAACUUAGUUGGCUCGAAAAGCUGUUGGUAAAGUCAUUAUGUUUCGAGGAAAUGUUCUCGGAUAAUUUUGUCCGCAGUAUCGUCGUUAAGACAAGGUCGCGUAUCUGGAUUUAUUCUUUAUAAAUUUGUUGGUUUGGUCAUCUUGAGACAUAUUUCGUCAUAUUAAAGAAAAUUUAGUUGUUGAUGUUGA